AGUCGAGAAUUUUUCACAAUGGGGGAAACCCUGAUGGAGCGACGCCGCGUGGGGGAUGAAUGGCUUCGGCCCGUAAACCCCUGUCAUUCGGGAUCAAUUCCGGCAACCUAACACGUUGUCGGUUGAUAGUACUGAAAGAGGAAGGGACGGCUAACUCUGUGCCAGCAGCCGCGGUAAUACAGAGGUCCCAAGCGUUGUUCGGAUUUACUGGGCGUAAAGGGAGCGUAGGUGGCGGGCUAAGUCUGGUGUGAAAUCUCUGGGCUCAACUCAGAAAUGGCAUUAGAAACUAGUCUGCUAGAGGAUUGGAGGGGAGACUGGAAUUCUCGGUGUAGCAGUGAAAUGCGUAGAUAUCGAGAGGAACACCAGUGGCGAAGGCGAGUCUCUGGACAAUUCCUGACACUGAUGCUCGAAAGCUAGGGGAGCAAA
rnacentral:rRNA from 1 species